AAGAGUUAAAUUUUAGGUCUGAGUUUCUUAUGUCUAGACCUAAAAUUUAACUCUUUU
rnacentral:pre_miRNA from 1 species